rnacentral:ncRNA from 1 species
AAUGAGUUUUCUGGCUCAAAAUUACUAUGCUCGGAGAGUUUACAUGUGAGUGUUAGCGAGAAGAAGGGAUAAGUUUUAAAUAAAUAUAGUCUUGUAGGUCGCAGUAAGGAUUUUUAUUAAUCUAGGAGACUAGGAAAUAGCUAGAUUAAGAAUAUGAACAAAGUUUGUGCCAGCAGUUGCGGUUAGACUUACCAUGUGAUAGUAAUUUUUCAGUUUUAUAGAUAAUUUAAUAUAGGGAGUUGGUAGAAAAUUUUUAUUAGGUGAAAUUUUUAAAUUUUGAAGAGGUUCAGUAAAUUAAAUUGAAUUUAGAAAGUCUUUAUUGUAAACUAGGAUUAGAUACCCUAUUAUAGGAGAGGUAAAAUUAGGGACUGAGUGAGUAUUAGUUAUGUUCUUGAAAAUUAAAGAAAUUGGCGGUUUUUUAGUCUAUUCAGAGGAACUUGUCCUAUAAUUGAUGACCCACGAUUUAAAAUACUUACUUUUUAAAUUUACAUAUCGCCGUGGGUGGAGUAUUUUUUUAGAAUAAAAUAUUCAUGAAUUUUAGUGAAAAUAUAUCAGGUCAAGGUGUAGUUUAUAAGUGAGGAGAGAUGAGUUACAAUAAGUUUAUUUAUAUGAAUAUAGAACUUGAAAAGUUUUUUGAAGGUGGAUUUGAAAGUAAUUUUAAAUAUUUUUUUAGAAUGAUUUUAGCUCUAAGAUAUGCACAUAUCGCCCGUCGCUUUCAUUUCAAAGUGAAAUAAGUCGUAACAGAGUAGAUGUACUGGAAAGUGUCUCUAGAAAGAC